rnacentral:rRNA from 1 species
CCUACGGGAGGCAGCAGUGGGGAAUAUUGCACAAUGGGGGAAACCCUGAUGCAGCGACGCCGCGUGAGUGAAGAAGCGCCUCGGCGCGUAAAGCUCUGUCAGCAGGAACGAUAAUGACGUACCUGAAGAAGAAGCCCCGGCUAACUACGUGCCAGCAGCCGCGGGAAUACGUAGGGGGCAAGCGUUAUCCGGAUUUACUGGGUGUAAAGGGGGCGUAGACGGUGGGGAAAGUCUGGAGUGGAAGGCCGGGGCCCAACCCCGGGACCGCUCUGGAAAAUGCCCGGCUGGAGUGCGGGAGAGGUAAGCGGAAUUCCUGGUGUAGCGGUGAAAUGCGUAGAUAUUAGGAGGAACACCAGCGGCGAAGGCGGCUUACUGGACCGUGACUGACGUUGAGGCUCGAAAGCGUGGGGAGCAAACAGGAUUAGAUACCCCUGUAGUC